AAUUUAGAGUUUUGUGUAUGGUUUAGGGUUUGGGAUUGAGAUUAGGGUUUAGAGUUUGGGGUUUAGAGUCUAGUGUUUGAGAUUCCUUUUCAAUGUCUUUCGUCUCUUGUAAUAUCUAUAUUUUGGGUUUAGGGUUUAAGGCUUUUGGUUGAGGGUUUUAGGGUUUAGAGUUUAGUUAAUACGGUAAAGGUUUUUGGAUUUAGGGAUUAGAGCUUAUGUUUUAAGGUUUAAGGUAUUAUAGUUUACAUUUUAUGGUUUAUGGGUUUAAGGUUUCAGGGUAUUCAGCUGCUCAAGGUCUUGGGUUUAGGGUUUAGGGUUUUAUCCUUUUUUUAAUUAUAAAAUAACUUUUCUUUUAUAUAUGAAAAAUAAAAGUUAAUUUUUUUACUUUAAUUCAUUAGAAUUUAAUCUUCGUACUUA
rnacentral:lncRNA from 1 species